GGGUCAGUAGGUUGGUCGUGCCACCGGUACGUACUGGUCUCACUGAUUACUCCUUCCUGAAGAACCGUAAUGCCAUUAAUUUGGUGUUGCGGGGAAACAGGACUGUUACUUUGAAAAAAUUAGAGUGUUUAAAGCAAGCUAACGCUUGAAUUCUUUAGCAUGGAAUAAUGAAAUAGGACGAUCGAUCCUAUUUUGUUGGUUUCUAGGAUUGACGUA
rnacentral:rRNA from 1 species